AUUGAACGCUGGCGGCAUGCCUUACACAUGCAAGUCGAACGGUAACAGGUUAAGCUGACGAGUGGCGAACGGGUGAGUAAUAUAUCGGAACGUGCCCAGUCGUGGGGGAUAACUGCUCGAAAGAGCAGCUAAUACCGCAUACGACCUGAGGGUGAAAGCGGGGGAUCGCAAGUCCUCGCGCGAUUGGAGCGGCCGAUAUCAGAUUAGGUAGUUGGUGGGGUAAGAGCCCACCAAGCCAACGAUCUGUAGCUGGUCUGAGAGGACGACCAGCCACACUGGGACUGAGACACGGCCCAGACUCCUACGGGAGGCAGCAGUGGGGAAUUUUGGACAAUGGGCGCAAGCCUGAUCCAGCCAUGCCGCGUGCGGGAAGAAGGCCUUCGGGUUGUAAACCGCUUUUGUCAGGGAAGAAAAGGUUCUGGUUAAUACCUGGGACUCAUGACGGUACCUGAAGAAUAAGCACCGGCUAACUACGUGCCAGCAGCAGCCGCCG
rnacentral:rRNA from 1 species